rnacentral:rRNA from 1 species
AUACGGAGGAUCCGAGCGUUAUCCGGAUUUAUUGGGUUUAAAGGGUGCGCAGGCGGCCAUUUAAGUCAGCGGUUAAAUCGUGGGGCUCAACCCCAUUCUGCCGUUGAUACUGGGUGGCUUGAUUGCGGUCGAGGUUGGCGGAAUUCGUUGUGUAGCGGUGAAAUGCAUAGAUAUGACGAAGAACACCGAUUGCGUAGGCAGCUGACCAGAUCGCAAAUGACGCUCAUGCACGAAAGUGCGGGGAUCGAACAGGAUUAGAUACCCUGGUAGUCCGCACAGUAAACGAUGAAUACUUGUUUUCGGCGAUAUAAUGUCGGAGGCAAAGCGAAAGCGAUAAGUAUUCCACCUGGGGAGUACGUUCGCAAGAAUGAAACUCAAAUGAAUUGGCGGGG